CAACCCUCAAGCCUUGCUUGGUAUUGGGCCUCGGGCGUCAGCCUGUGCCUUAAACUCAGUGGCGGUGCCGUCUGGCUCUAAGCGUAGUAAAACAUCUCGCUCUGGAGACCCGGUGGUGACCAGCCAGAACCCCCCAUUUUUUUCAGG
rnacentral:misc_RNA from 1 species